rnacentral:rRNA from 1 species
UCGGGAAUUUUGGGCAAUGGGCGAAAGCCUGACCCAGCAACGCCGCGUGAGGGAUGAAGUAUUUCGGUAUGUAAACCUCGAAAGAAUGGGAAGAAUAAAUGACGGUACCAUUUAUAAGCUCCGGCUAACUACGUGCCAGCAGCCGCGGUAAUACGUAGGGAGCAAGCGUUGUUCGGAUUUACUGGGCGUAAAGGGCGCGUAGGCGGCGCGGUAAGUCACUUGUGAAAUCUCUGAGCUUAACUCAGAACGGCCAAGUGAUACUGCUGUGCUAGAGUGCGGAAGAGGCAACCGGAAUUCUUGGUGUAGCGGUGAAAUGCGUAGAUAUCAAGAGGAACACCUGAGGCGAAGGCGGGUUGCUGGGCCGACACUGACGCUGAUGCGCGAAAGCGUGGGGAUCAAACA